rnacentral:rRNA from 1 species
GAUGAACGCUGGCGGCGUGCCUAAUACAUGCAAGUCGAGCGAAUGGAUAAAGAGCUUGCUCUUAUGAAGUUAGCGGCGGACGGGUGAGUAACACGUGGGUAACCUGCCCAUAAGACUGGGAUAACUCCGGGAAACCGGGGCUAAUACCGGAUAACAUUUUGAACCGCAUGGUUCGAAAUUGAAAGGCGGCUUCGGCUGUCACUUAUGGAUGGGCCCGCGUCGCAUUAGCUAGUUGGUGAGGUAACGGAUCACCAAGGCAACGAUGAGUAGCCGACCUGAGAGGGUGAUCGGCCACACUGGGACUGAGACACGGCCCAGACUCCUACGGGAGGCAGCAGUAGGAAAUCUUCCGCAAUGGACGAAAGUCUGACGGAGCAACGCCGCGUGAGUGAUGAAGGCUUUCGGGUCGUAAAACUCUGUUGUUAGGGAAGAACAAGUGCUAGUUGAAUAAGCUGGCACCUUGACGGUACCUAACCAGAAAGCCACGGCUAACUACGUGCCAGCCGCCGCCGUAA